rnacentral:rRNA from 1 species
AUUGAACGCUGGCGGCAUGCCUUACACAUGCAAGUCGAACGGCAGCGGGGACUUCGGUCCGCCGGCGAGUGGCGAACGGGUGAGUAAUGUAUCGGAACGUACCUUUCAGUGGGGGAUAACGUAGCGAAAGUUACGCUAAUACCGCAUAUUCUCUGAGGAGGAAAGCAGGGGACCUUCGGGCCUUGCGCUGAUGGAGCGGCCGAUAUCAGAUUAGCUAGGUGGUGGGGUAAAGGCUCACCAAGGCUACGAUCUGUAGCGGGUCUGAGAGGAUGAUCCGCCACACUGGGACUGAGACACGGCCCAGACUCCUACGGGAGGCAGCAGUGGGGAAUUUUGGACAAUGGGCGAAAGCCUGAUCCAGCCAUGCCGCGUGAGUGAAGAAGGCCUUCGGGUUGUAAAGCUCUUUCGGACGGGAAGAAAUCAUGAGGGCUAAUAUCCCUUGUGGAUGACGGUACCGUAAUAAGAAGCACCGGCUAACUACGUGCCAGCAGCCGCGGUAA